rnacentral:piRNA from 1 species
GCUAUUUAAGAUUCAGGAGUGAUGUUUCGU